GUGCUCUCUUCAGCAGCACAUAAACUAAAAUUGGAAUGAUACAGAGAAUAUUAGCAUAGUCCCUGCACCAAACAUACUACAAAGCUACAGUAAUUAACACAUUGUA